AGCAGCAGUUUACAGAGCAGGGGCCGCCCCCAGCCCCCGCCGUGCCCCCGUCCCCGGCACCCCCGGGCCCGGCGUUAGACGUAGCAUUGCCCCACGUAGAGAGCUAGGCACCGGUUUUACUCCUCUUUGCCUUAGGUCCCUCGAUGUCCUCGAUCUUUCGUGCAAUAAUGUAGAUAAGGGAUCCCGGGCGGCCCGGGAGGGCUCGGUGGCACCGCCCGGCUGUGUCCCAGGGGGUGCCCGCUGUGAUUUCUGUCCCCGUCGAGGUCGCUGUGUCCGUAGGUUGUCAGGUUUUUAUUUCCAGUUCCCUCAGCUGUCGGGUUUCGGACCUUCUUCCCGUAGGAGAGGCUGUAGUGUCACAGACGUUACCUCAGUUUGUCACUGUUGAAAAGGAUUUAAAAAAAACCACAACUGAAACCAUAAAAAAUUACAAAAUACAUAGUUAUAAAAGCAACAAAAAAUUUCUCAAUGGCGGUGAAGACUUUUUUUUUUUUUUUUUUUUUUUUGGGGGGGGGGGGGGGGGGGGGGGGGGGGGUGAAGACUUUUUUUUUUUUUUUUUUCAUUAACUGAAGGAAACGUGAUGCUGCUUGUGCGGGGGUGGGAGGGCACGGCCUCCACCCUGACGUGGCCUCGGCAGUGGCUGUGCCUCCCUGUCACCCUGUCACCCCGGGAAGGGACAGAAGGGAUGUGGGGAGCAGCACCCAUGGGUGGGGGGCACCCAGCAGCCCUCGGUGCAGCCCCCUCCGAGCAGCCAGGCCUGCCUGAUGCCAAAUGUAUUCCAGCCACGUCCGCAGGCUAAUUUCAAUUUCCUGGUAAUUAUGCAAAUGAAUGUGGAUUUAAUUAAGGGCAGAUUUCAUUAAAGUCUUCUUGGGGAAAUGAGAGCAGGGUGGGGGAGAGCGAGGAGGAGGAGGAGGCGGUGGCAGGGAAGCAGAGAUGAAGGCAGCGCCUGCCCCGGAAGAUAAACGGCCCCAGGGGCUGUGGAGGGGAUGGACGGGAUCCUUCGGGAGUGGGACAACACUGCAGGAGGGCAGAGCUGUGUGGGCACGGCCGGGGCACUGCGGGGAUGGAGCCCGGGCAGUGCGGGAUGGAGCCCGGGCGGUGCAGCCCCGUUGCAUCCCCAGCCCCGCUCCGGGCACCGGGCAGCGAGUCCUGCUCAUCCCCUGCUCCUGCAGCGACGGCUCCCGGCUCCUUCCCUCCCACCAGGGCAGGGACAGCAUUGCUCUGACACGUGAUUCGUAUUUUUCUCUUCCCCGGCUAAAAAUACAGAUUUGGCCACCCCGAGAGGUCUAGGAAAUCAAUGUCAUUGUCACCAGCGCUGGCUGGCAGGACUCUCCCCUCCCCGAUCCAGACAAAAAAGGGAUCGCUGCCAUUUGACGUCUCCGAGCCCAAGCGCUCGCGCGGCUCCGGCGGAGCUGCCUUUAAUCCAAAGUGAAACGGCGCUAAUUUUAUCCCGGCAAGGUCGGGAUGCUGCGAGGGGCAGGAGCUGCUUGUCUCCAGGCAAAAGCUCCAGCCACAAAAAGCGGAGCUGAAGUUUGCCAAGCCACCACCUGCCCGGCAGAGCCGCAGCCUCCCUGCUCCCCUCCGGGUUUGCUCCGGAGCAUUGCGGGGUCGCGGCCGCUGCCCUUGGGCACCCCCCGGGCGGAGGAUGAGCAACACAAUCACUGCUCUGAGAGGAGAACAAUCCCCGACUGGGACACAUCCUGGAGGAGCACAGGGAAGAGGGAUGGCGUGGCAGGUGUGGAAUGGUGUGGGUGUGCGUGCAGCAUCCCGUGAAACCAGAUCCUUCCGAGCGGGGAAGGCCAGGAAGGCCCGGCUGUGACACUCAGCUGCUGAUCCCGCCUCGGAUUUCAUCCACCCCUCCAUUCCCGAGCUGGACGGUGCCCGGUUUUCCUCACAGACACUUAGUGAGGCACUGCGGCCCCAGCUAAAACACCGGGGGUUGGGAGUAAAAAUAACUGGGAAUGAUCCGCUCCUUGGGAGCACAAUGAUCAACGCCAAGCUGGCACCGCACGAAGUCCCACCCCGAGCGCACACAAACCCUUUAAAAGGUAAUAUUUUGCCACUAGGAUGGUGCUCCAGCUCGCUGCUGACUCAGGAGCGGCCGUGGGAUGAGCGGGGAGUUCCCACGCAUCCCGACAGCGCGGGGAGCUCGGGGUCCGGGGGUUCCCCAGCCCGGCCCGGGGACAUCUCUCACUGCGCUUCUCGGGGCUGAUCCGCUCUCUGCAGCGUCCAAAAAU
ensembl:lncRNA